UCAAAUAUGAUAUUUUGUUGAACAUAGGAGUUAUGCAUGAAAGAAUAGAGUCAUGAAAGUGUGGGACAAUGCUAAGGGUAAUUUUGGAAUUUUGGAAAUUAGUUUCGGGAAUUACAAAAUACGAUCCAUAAGUUAUUCGUCUCAAAAAUUGAAUUGAAAAUGAGGCCCAAAGAGUUAAGGGUGGCCGGCCAUGAUGGCCUUGGCCCAAACCCAAUUAGUGGUCAUGUGCUUGGUCAUGUGACCAAGCACUUCAAUACUUAUAUAAUUGAAGACUAAUGAUAAGGAUCAACUAGAACAAACAAGAACAAAAAAAAUAGAAGAGGAGAGAAAGAAGAGGUCUCGGGUUUGUGGAGAAAAAUUGGGUAUCAAAAAUCUUGUUCUAAAAAUUCAUUUCUUGUUAAAUUCCUACUAAGUCAAGGUUCCUUUGUAACUUGGUAUAGUUGGAUUGGAGUGGGGAGCAUUAGAAUCACCACAGUGAUCAUAUUUCCAAGUGAAGAAGACUUGAGGAAAAGUUUUUCGACGAAACGGGAAGUGAGUUUGGAAAGGCUUAAGGAGCGUGAAAGGUACCGACGACAGGUUUGCUGAUCCGUCCGCUUAGGAUCUCAUUCUGCUAUUUUUGGAGCGCUCUUUUAUUCAGAGCCAUCUUUUGGUACAGUCAGUUACUUCUAUAUGUGUAUAUUCUCGUUCAUGGGUACGGCGGGGCCCUGUCCCGCCAUAUGAUUCUGUUGGUCCAUCUAGAGGUCUGUAGACAUGUUUGUGGGUUGGGAUCUUUC